AAUUAUGGCUAAUAAGUUAUUUAAAAAGUAUAACAAGGUGACAAGCAAUGUCCGGAUAAAUUAAUGUUCAUAAAAGUGAAACGGGAAAUUGACAGGACACAGAGUAAGUAACCUCGGUCUAUUUUGAAAAAUAUAUGGUUUGAAAUUCCCGGCAAAUUCGUCGAGAUAAUUAUAAAAAAAUAUGCGUCUCCGCUACAUUCUCCCCACCUAAACCAAUAUAUAUAUGUAUAUAUAUGUAUUGGUUUAUACCAAACACAUAU
rnacentral:lncRNA from 1 species